CCUGGCCUGUGGAGAGCAAACCCACCCACCCACACAGUGUGAAAUCCACAUCCCCUCAAGGAGUGCAGUGAGGUCACAGGAGACGAAAGCAGGAUUGUGCAGUCAGAGGGAUGGAGGACAGGAGGCACUUGCCUCCAGAUGGAGGUGGCAAUGCCAAGCGCUCCGCCUCAGCAGAGUGCGACACAGAGGAUAGAGUGGUCAGGAAGGAGCAGGGUGACCCUGAGACCUCGACACAAAUGCGUGUGAGAAAAGAUGAUCUCUGUGAUGUCCCUCGCAAGGUGCCGCGUUUCCAGUAUGUGGAUUUCCCUUCUCUGCACCAGUGCAUCCAACAGCUUUCUGUGCCUCCGCUCAACGGUUGGCUGGGAUCCUGCUCGUUGACAAAGGCACCAGACUACAGGCCCACCAGUCCUAAGGAAAAGGUUCCCAAGUUUAAAUAUGUGGACUACCCAUCUCUCCACCACUGCAUUCAGCAGCUGUCUGUGCCCCCUUUAGAAAGCUGGAGUGCAGGGCUGGUCAGGUUUAAUGCAGAGGGGAAACAAGACGACUCUGGGACUGUGAAGAAUAACCUAAGGAACGAGGCAAGAGAUCAAAACAACGAGAACAGGAAUAGAGUUACAGCAUUUUCUUUCCCAAGAGACACACACACCUUAGUCUCAGGUAAGGAGGAGAGUCCUCAACACGACUAUACCUCAGAGGUGCCACAGAGGUUAGAGAAAGGUAACGCACCUCUAAGGUUCUGUUCUACUAAACCAGAAGCUGCUUUACAAUCAGAUUGCGGAUCUAGAUCAGAAUCUGGUUCUGGAUCUGAUAGCGACGCAGCAUUGGGGAGAAACGACAGACCAUCGGUUAUUAACAUGGUGUACACAGAUAAGCAGAAGCGCUGGACAAAGGCAGGUCACCUGGAAGAACAGCUGAACUCUCCUGAUUCAGUCAGACGGGUACCGUGGAAUACUCUCCCAGAGUCAGUCUGCCCAUUCUGCCAACAGAUGUUCACAAACCCUGAGCAGUUCAGGGCUCAUCAGCGGAGCCAUAGAGAUAAGAGACCAAACUGAAGUGCAGAAGUACUGAGUGAGAACUGCUUUUGGCAAACAGUUAAUGCCACAUCAUAUGGAAUCGGAUCAUCAGAGGCCUUCUUGUGUUGUGACAGGCUAAAGUGGUAUUGCUGGCAGGACUAUAGGGAGAUCAAAGACACAUUAAACACGUUUGGGUUCAGACCUUAGGAAGAAUGCAAGACUUUGUCUUGACUGAUGUUGUGAUGUCUAAUAAGGCAGAACUGAACAGACAGAAACAAACAAGCAUACAAUAUGCAUGCACAUACAGUACACUUACAAGUGUGCUGACACACACACACACACACACACACACACACACACAAACACACACAGAAUCCUAUUCAUGAUUCAGAAGAGGUCAAAAUGUACUGCCCCACAUAAGGACCAUCAAAUAUAAUGGGGUUUCAGCUCAAGACAGGGGAUUAGAACCAGAUUUAUAGUCUAUUCCACACAUACAUCAGCGUGUUUACAGGGGUGGGUGAAGCUCGAUGGACUGGUGCAUAAGAGGAUGAAUUUUAUUACAUAUGUGUUCCCCACACUGUGUGCAUAGUGGCAGGCUAAAUAUUUAGCUUUGGGUGCCUACAAAAUAAUGGCUAUUGUUAAUGCUGCACAAACAGACAGGUUUGUUAAUAAUGAUUUGUUACAUUAGCUUUUUAUUGUUUUGUAUUUUUUAUGUUUUUGGAAAUUAAUGUCUAGUGGCUUUGAGCUAGUAGCUUUAAAUCUUAAAAAUGUACCGCUUGUUUUCAAGUGUUUAAUUGUGUGAGUAAAGACUUUUUCAUACAGAAAUAAAUGUUUGACUUUUCAGUACA
ensembl:lncRNA